AUUAUAAUGAGGUGUUUUUACAAGAUAAUGAAAGAUUAGGGACAAUCCCUAAUUCUACUAGUGCGAAAAGGAAAACAAAAGUAGCAUAAUAUAUCCAGAACAAGGUCAAUUGCAGUUGUUAAUUUGUUUUAGUAUCCCAUCCUAAUCUUCUAUUCACAUGCCAAUUUGGUGUCAAAGCUACUCAAGCAUAUAGCAAAAGCUUGAACCGCAGAUAGGGGAUACCUGUAAUCCAUAGUAAACAUAUCUUUCCCUAUCUUGCCAAAUUGCAGGAUGACUUUGUCAUGAUCUGAUUGACUUGACCGAGAGGUCGUCGGUCCCCCAGCAGGUGGUUGGUGGGCCGCUAUCAACUGAAAAUUCUUUACAGAUGCAACUGUCACCCGUCCUCUAAAAUUCAGGCACCAACACUGCAAUUGUUCAUGCCAACGCGGUGACUUGUUCUUUAGAACCAAGGGUUUCACCUUACUAUCAUCUUCUGCACUGGAUGAUGCUCUAACAAUAUCAGAAAACCGUGAGCUACUGAACUCAGCAGAAUGAUCCAACGACUUUGAGAAAGAGAUACUACGGAAUGAAUCCUCAAGGGACCUUGGGAGAAGUUCCGGUUGGCCAGGCACUGACCCACCCACAUCAACUGCUGAGGCAGGAAUCGAGUGCAUUACGCAGUGCAUUUUCCGUGGACCCCGUGUUCCAAGAACAUUUAGCUCGUAUUUGAUUUGGGCUAUGCUGUAGCUUCCAGUUGGAACUUUCGGAGAGACUUUCUUGGAAUAGAAUCUGCGGCUUGUGCGGCCUGGAGGCGGAACGUUUGCAAAGGUGUAUGGAGGCUGUGUGUCAUAUAUAACGAAUUUUGUACCCAGAAAAUUUGACCUUAAUUUUCCAAUGUAAGUGUUGCUUGAUCUUGAGAUGUUUUCUGCAUCCAUUGAG
rnacentral:misc_RNA from 1 species